CUUCACCGAGCCCAGCCACAGCGGCCGGUCGACCGGCCGAUCCUGCCCGUACGUGGCCAACAACGCCUGCGCCUC
rnacentral:antisense_RNA from 1 species